UUUCCGAUUUUUGAACCCUCUUUCCUAGGCAAAAGGUGUUCAAUCUCUACAUACCCGCAGAAUUUAACAGAUGUCUCUUUAUUCCUCCUCCUAGAAGCUCAGAGGAUCCAGAACAGCAGCCUGUCCUCGCUGGGCUGUUCCUGUCCAUGUGCCUGGUCACGGUGCUGGGGAACCUGCUCAUCAUCCUGGCCGUCAGCCCUGACUCCCACCUCCACACCCCCAUGUACCUCUUCCUCUCCAACCUGUCCUUGCCUGACAUCGGUUUCACCUCCAGCAUGGUCCCCAAGAUGAUUGUGGACAUCUAAUCUCACAGCAGACUCAUCUCCUAGGCAGGCUGCCUGACUCCCAUGUCUCUCUUUGCCAUUUUUGGAGGCAUGGAAGAGAGACAUGCUCCUGAGUGUGAUCCCUAUGACCCGUUUGUAGCCAUCUGUCACCCUCUAUAUCAUUCAGCCAUCAUGAACCCGUGUUUCUGUGGCUUUCUAGUUUUGUUGUCUUUUUUUUCUCAGUCUCUUUUAGACGCCCAGGUGCACAACUUGAUUGCCUUACAAAUGACCUGCUUCAAGGAUGUGGAAAUUCCUAAUUUCUUCUGGGAACCUUCUCAACUCCCCCAUCUUGCAUGUUGCGACACCUUCACCAAUAACAUAAUCAUGUAUUCCCCUGCUGCCAUAUUUGGUUUUCUUCCCAUCUCGGGGACCCUUUUCUCUUACUAUAAGAUUGUUUCCUCCAUUCUGAGGGUUUCAUCAUCAGGUGGGAAGUAUAAGGCGUGCUCCACCUGUGGGUCUCACCUGUCAGUUGUUUGCUGAUUUUAUGGAACAGGCUUUUGGGGGUACCUCAGUUCAGAUGUGUCAUCUUCCCCGGGAAAGGCUGCAGUGGCCUCAGUGAUGUACACGGUGGUCACCCCCAUGCCGAACCCCUUCAUCUACAGCCUGAGAAACAGGGAUAUUAAAAGUGUCCUGCGGCGGCCGCA
rnacentral:lncRNA from 1 species